AGUGAACGCUGGCGGUAGGCCUAACACAUGCAAGUCGAACGGCAGCACAGUAAGAGCUUGCUCUUACGGGUGGCGAGUGGCGGACGGGUGAGGAAUACAUCGGAAUCUACUUUUUCGUGGGGGAUAACGUAGGGAAACUUACGCUAAUACCGCAUACGACCUACGGGUGAAAGCAGGGGAUCUUCGGACCUUGCGCGAUUGAAUGAGCCGAUGUCGGAUUAGCUAGUUGGCGGGGUAAAGGCCCACCAAGGCGACGAUCCGUAGCUGGUCUGAGAGGAUGAUCAGCCACGCUGGAACUGAGACACGGUCCAGACUCCUACGGGGGGCAGCAGUGGGGAAUAUUGGGCAAUGGGCGCAAGCCUGAUCCAGCCAUACCGCGUGGGUGAAGAAGGCCUUCGGGUUGUAAAGCCCUUUUGUUGGGAAAGAAAGGCAGCAGGUUAAUACCCCGCUGUUCUGACGGUACCCAAAGAAUAAGCACCGGCUAACUUCGU
rnacentral:rRNA from 1 species